rnacentral:rRNA from 1 species
AGAUACACCUGUACCCAUGCCGAACACAGAAGUUAAGCCCUAGAACGCCGGAAGUAGUUGGGGGUUGCCCCCUGUGAGAUAGGGAAGUCGCUUAGCU